UACGUAGGGUGCAAGCGUUGUCCGGAAUUAUUGGGCGUAAAGAGCGUGUAGGCGGCCAGGUAGGUCUGCUGUGAAAACUCGAGGCUCAACCUCGAGACGUCGGCGGAAACCAUCUGGCUAGAGUCCGGAAGAGGAGAGUGGAAUUCCUGGUGUAGCGGUGAAAUGCGCAGAUAUCAGGAAGAACACCCGUGGCGAAGGCGGCUCUCUGGGACGGUACUGGACGCUGAGACGCGAAAGCGUGGGGAGCGAACAGG
rnacentral:rRNA from 1 species